GGUUUUUUUCUUUUCCCCAAUUCAUUCUCCUCUCCUCUCUUUCGUUCCCCCAUCCCAUCCAGAUCCCGGGGAAGAAGGGCGCGCGGGGGAGGCCAGAUCGGCGGCGCAAAACCCAGCGCAACAGAGUGGCGGCUCACGCUCGACCGCGGGGUUGUGUCGGGAGGGGCGGAGAUGGCCAGAUCCGGCGGCGCGGUGGGUGAGGCGGCUCGCGCUUGACCCUUAUGGUCUGUGGGGAAGGGAGAAAUGACCAGAUGCCGAGGCAGCGCGGUGCUUGCGCGCGACCUCAGGCUGCACGGGGAGGGUGGAGAAGGCCGGGCCAAAUUCGUGCGUGCUGCGAGGAAGGAGAAGACCACGAGCGACGAGCGACGAGAGGAGGCUACUGGACGCGCGCGGCAGGCGGGUGAGAGGCGAUGCCGACGACGCACCAGUAGAGAGACGCAUCUUGAAAAGCAAGGCAGGAGAUGGCAAUUUGCUUUCACAGCAAACUGCUCAUUCAUGAAAGAUGUGGAACUGCCACAGUAGGUGUUUGCACACUGAGCUGUUGACCCAAAGCAUGAGAUGAUAUAAACAUAACUUGCUCAGGGGCAGCUAACAUUUGGAAGUACUUGUUGCAUUGUCUGAUCCAGCCCACAGGAUCAGUGCCAUCAAAUUUUGGGAAUUCCAGCUUUGGUCCUUUAGUUAAGGCCUUCAUGAACUGUGCCUGCAUCUCUUGCUCAUAUGUCUUGAAGUAGCCCUGCCAUAACUGACUCUCUCUAUUUGGUUGGUAGUGUUGGAAUGCAGGUGUAGGAGGUCUAGUUGGAUUUGCCACAGGAGUGUCUUCCUCACCAGUCAAAUCUGUAGUCUGAAAACCUGGGGGAAACCUACUCAUGUUAACCCUGACCAGAGAUACAUCACCUCGAAGCACCUCUGAAUCCUGUUGCAAUGCGCCGAAAUCGUCCUUCAUGGACAAGACAUCCUGGGCCAAAUUCGUGCGUGCUGCGAGGAAGGAGAAGACCACGAGCGACGAGCGACGAGAGGAGGCUACUGGAUGCGCGCGGCAGGCAGGUGAGAGGCGAUGCCGACGACGCACCAGUUAGAGAGACACAUCUUGAAAAGCAAGGUAUGGUUCUUACCGACCCCAGUGACUAAAUCUUUGCAAGAAGCGGUCGCACGACCAAACCAGAUGGAUAUAUGAGGCAACUUAUUGAACCAGAUACAAAACAUUCCCCUUCUGCCUCUGGGUUGUGUUGCCUAGCAAUUGUGUAUGAUUUGGCAUAUUUUUUUGCAUGUAGAUUUGGCAAUUUCGUACUAUAUCUUACGCAACAGCACAACUGAAUUUUUGGAGAGAGGGACUGAUAAUCAGUUUUCUGAGUUAUCUUUAAAUUUAUGCUAGAGCUUGGGCUCGCGCAGGGGCCAAGGGGCUUGGCCAACUUAUCGAGGAGACUUAGACAUUUAUACUAGGGUUGCGCCUACCCUUCUUACACGCGUUUGUAUGUCUUGCUCACACCGCCUGUCGCGUAUGUGCUUGCGAGACUACUGCUGUAACUUUCAAACUCUAUUCCCUUCUAUCAAUGCAAUGGAUUUCAGGUUUGCUUGGUUGAUUUGUCUUCCCAUAAUGUUGGAAGAAAGCAAAGCGGUUUGUGAUUAGGUAGUAUUAGCUCACAAGCAUGUGCAAUUGUCUCAGAAAAUGAUGUUUCUUAAAAAUUAGAAGAAUUUACAACGCUUAUAAAAGCUUUCACUCUGUCAGCCUAAAGGUUUUAAUCUCUAGAGGUUUUACUUGCAUACUAUUCAAUUAGUACAACAUGCCCUCUCUGAAUCAAUGUUUGGUCCCGAAAUCCUUUCUUCGAGUUAACAACUUAAUUAGUUGUUUUGAACUACUUGUUACUUGCAUCUCCUGAUCUACUAUAGUAAUUUCUGCAACAUGAGUCUGCAUGCUUAUAUAUAGUUCUACAUGUUUAUUAGUUUAUACAUGGUUUACUAAAUCUUUUACUUAAGAGAUAUUUUCUUCAUUUCUGUAGAAUUGGCUGGGCAACCACAAACAAUAUCUGAAGACAAACUGAUAGCUGCAUAGUUUUGCUUUGUUUUCUUUUGUUUACACAUGUUUCCGUUUUACUACUUGCUAUUUGAUAAUUUAUUUGUUCUUGUGUGCUUUCUAUUUGAUAUAUGUAGUUUCUUGACUGACUAAGAUGGUGUAGAGGCUCUGGCAGGAGUAUUUGUAUUUUCUGCCAACAAAUAAGCUAUUACAAAUAAUAACAAAUGCAAUAUUUUCAUACCAAGCUGGGUACAGAAUUAACUUUUCAUAAGAAAAUAAAAUGAACAUACAUUUACCAACAGAAAAACUCAUAGGUUGUGUAUUAUUAUUGUUUAAAAAUAGCAAUACAAGGCCUCACUAACGUUCCUGGAGGGAUGUUUAGGUCUGCAUCAUGAUAGCUCUCCUUCCAAAUUAUUUGACCUGUUUUUUCUACUCCAAGUUUAUUGGCCCAUUUUUUACUUUCUGAGGAUAUUGAUCUGCUUUUGAGCAUACUAAAAUGGUAUAUUUAAUGUCAAGUUCGGUGCUUUUAUCACUAUAUUCUUCAAGAACCUCAUUGUAUCUAUUUAUCCUAGGAUUGAAGAUUAUUGACACAAAAACUUCUGCAAUUAAGAGAAGGUUCAGUUUCACUAUUACCUUUGUUUUCAAAUUAAACGGCAACUCUACUCAUAUUCACGCCAGCAGCAUGCACUUUUUUACUCAACAAGCAAGAGGGAUUAAAUAAAUUGGUGUUCAUCUGAGUUACUUGCUGUCACUGCAUCCAUAUGAGGUUGAUGCAUUCAUUGUUCGUACGCCUCUAUGGGGUUGAUGCAAGAUCAAAUCAGGUUAGGUUGCGUGUGUGGCUGUCUGACAUAGAAUGGAUACAGUUUAACAACUUUCAUUUUAGUUAGCAUGAAGUCUGUCGUUAAUGUAGAUUUUUCUUAACAUUUGUUAUUGCUUAAUGCAAAGAAGCAUCACUGUUAAUUAAUAAAUUUAUAGAUGGUUCUUUGGUUCAGACUGCAGAAGCAACACAUGAUGUUACCACAGUGUUCAGUAAUGUGCAACGAAAUUUGUGAAAAUGUACUUUGGUAAAUAAUCCAGUAAUUUCACCCAGACCUUGCAAAUGGUAGAUAUGGGAGCCAAUGAAACAUCGAUAACAUUUCUAAUCUAUUGUAAGCCUAUCCUAGCAUUUUUACUGUACAAGGAGUUGACUACUAGCACAUUCAUAUGAUCAUCUCUAGAAUCACAAUUAACUCAGCUGCAACACAAAACAGAUCUUCUUCCACUCUUGUGUGUUGUAGCACUGAUUAAAUUUCCUUAGGGUAACUAUUUUACCUUUGCAACCAAUUAAUUGCUACUAAUUUUGGGCAACUUCUCAUUAUCUUUACUAUAAUGGAGUGUUACAAAGGUGGUUUACGAAUUAAAUCAUGAUAUGCAUUUCUCAUAUAUAAACUGUUAAGAAGAAAAUAUAUAUUUUACACAAGUUUGCACAUCGAAUGUUUGCAAACCAUUGCUCCGCACUACUUGCCAUCCCAAUUCUUGAUUCGUGCAGGAGCCGGCCGCUUCUCAGCUAUUUGGAUAUUUGAGCCGUUCCAUGCAAUCUGCCAACCUGACGUGCCCUUAUCAAGGCCGGCCGUUUUUACACCGCAAGGGAUAAAAACCAGCGCCGGACGAAACCUAGCCAUCGCCUCGCACUCGUGCCCCUCCCCUUCGCACUUUCAGCUGCCGCCGCUGCCAUGCUCCCACCCUUCUCCUCCCGUGGCCUCUUGUCGCUGGGCCGCAUGGCUGCGGCGGUCGACCUCCUCCUCGGCGCUCAAUAAUCACACGGUAGGGCGAGCACGAGCUGUCUGACAACAGCACCAGAGGGCGCCUCCACAGGGUUGGACAAGAGGAUCUGAGGUUGGUCCACUGUGUGCGGGUGCUCGUGGUUCUGGUCGGUUCCUCCUGCCGCGUCUUCAGUCACCGCUCUGCAGCUUCAGAAGCACCAGCGAUUAUGUGAAUUGGCUUUGGUGUUUAACAAAAGUUAUUAGGGAGAUGGAGCAGUUCCAGCAGAGAGUUAGUUGUCUUCCAGAUCUGUUCCUGUCCCCGUUUCUUCCUCGUGCGAGCCAUUUCCACCGGCCUGUUCUUCGCCUGUGCUUCCAGUGACCAUGUCUGCCAAGCUCCUAAUGGGCACGGUAUUCACAAUAGCGUCCUAUUUCAACGGCUCAAACUGUUGGUCCUCGCAUGGCAAUGUUCCCUGCCGGUGUUCGUGGAGUUGGUCUACAACAAUUUUAUGGCCAGCAACCUUCAACGUUUAUUAACCCACUACAGAUAUAGAGAAAGAAGAGAAGAAGAAUAACCUUGAAGAUUUUGGUGAAGAACAAGUUUCACAUCCUUCACUGCUAUCAGGAGGUUCAGCCGGUGGUCGAAGACAAUCAAGAUGAGCUGGUUGUACUAGAGAAAAAUGCCAUUCAACAGUCUUCAGUUCAGUGUACCAGCCAAAUAAGAGGUCUCUAGACAAAAGUUCAGCUUCCCAGUUAAGCUCUGUAUUGACAACCUCACUGGCCUCAAGGAACUGGCUGUGAGCUGCAACAAUUGUACUAGCUGGCUGCACAUAUUGAGUACAUGACCAACAUUUCUUACACCUCCAGAACACAUCAUCCAAGCACAGUUUUCUUGCGAAAAGAAUGCCCAAUAGCACUUUGGGGUAAAUUACUUGAGAAGACAACAACCAUAGCAGCUUUGGCUGUAGCAAUGGAAAACAGUUCCACAUCUUCCCAAUGUCAAACAGAAGAAAACUCCAGGGCCGGACCAUGUGUGAAAUGUCGAGCAGAUUCCCAAUAGAGUAUGUGAAAUGCUUCAUAAUUAUGACGGAGAAGAUAUUGUUCUUUGCACCUGUUGUGCUGCAGUGUGACAAUUUUACCUUGUUGCCUCAAAUAGAAUACCUUUGAUGGAACGUCCUCCACUUAAGCACAUAAAUGUAACUCAGAUUGUGUGCACCGUCACAAGAUGCAACGAUAACACUGAAAGUUGGCUCGUCAUUCACUGUGUUGUGCAUGUACAGAAUAAAUGGGUGAUGGACUUGGCUCAAUGAUUUCAUUUCUGCCCAACAUAAUCGCAUGGCCUGAUUACCUGCUGCACAACCAUGAAAGCGCUUCUCUGACUUCUCUUCUCCGAUAGAUUUCUUUACGACAUAACAAUGUACACACUGUUCCCCAGAUAUAUUUUAAUUGAUGUCUACCAUUUAGAAAAUUGGUCAUCAGAGAACUAGGUGCAACCUUACUCCAAAAUAGGUUCAGAAGAGAACCGACAGCCAAGACUUGCAUAAGAAUUUCAAUGCCAUGUCGUUCAACAGAAAAAAGAGCUGCAGAAAGUGCACUUGCUGGCUGCACUAUAUCGGACAACCAUUUCAUAAGCCUCGAGAGUACAUCAGCCAGACACCACAUCACACUGUAAUUGCGUAGAGCAUUGAUAAGGAUACUACUAGGAGAGUGUGAGAGAUGACUCACGAAUUGCAGCGCCUUCGAAUCUGUUGUGUCAAGAGUUACUUCUAUGGACGAACAGGGAACCACAAUCCUGUUCGAUGGCAUGGUGGCACUAGGUGGCGGUUCGGCAAUAGCGCCGCGAGCUGUACUUGUGUGCUCAUCAAUGAAUGACAGCCAUGGCGAAGGUCUGAGUACUUGCCCUUGUUGCUUGAUACGUGGAGUCACACCUAGCUGAAACGUGGGUUUCAGCACGCCAAUGUCGUCAUCAAAGCAUAAGGUCGCGCACCUUGUCGGCGCCAUGGUGUCCAACUCGAGAACGGAAAAUGGCCGCUCCGGUAGGUCUGGUGCUGUCACUGGAGGAGUUGUGGAGGAUGGCGUCACACUCCACAGGACAUCAAGCUCGGGGGAGACGUCGGUGAGGGUCUCCGUAGGCGUGAGGCCGUGAACCCCAUGGUCAAAGCCAUCGUCAAUCUCCUCAGCAUCCACCGCCUCAUCCUUCAUGAUUUGUUCCUCCGAGCAAGGGACGAUGCUCUGGUGAUGCUGGAGAGCGAUUGCGACCGCACGACUGCUUGAAUAUCCGUGUGCAAGCCCUCGAGGUACUGGUGGACGAAGCACUUGAUGAUUAGGGUGGGGUUGAGAUCUAGUACGCGAUGUACGUGUUCCCAUAAUGUUGUCGUGUACUCGGCCACGAUUGCAGUCUACUUUAGCCCGAGCAGCGAGCACAAGCGCAUGUUGUACUUCGGCGACACGUCCUGGAUGUCAAGGAUGCAGGCACGCUCGUAGAUGCACCGCCCAUGCAAAGCGAGAGCCCGCGCUGCUCCGCGUCUUGAUCGAAGUUGAACCACCGCGUCCACAUGAUUGAUUCUUUGGAACACGGAGAUCUUCACCACACCAUAUGCUGCAAACACCUGCUGCAGCAGCAUCUCCUCAGUGACCGGGUAGUAUACAUGGUGCACGGUGCCGCAGAGAACGUCGCCGGUGAACACCUCUUGGUGGCUCGACAUUUCGUUGAACACCUGGUAGGCAGGAAGUGGGUGGUGAUUUUUUUGUGGCUCUGAAUACCAUAUUGUCAUGUCCCAACCUAUGAUUGGGUUGAGAACAUGAUGGUGACUCGAAUACAAUAGGAAAUGGGGGAGAAAUCAGAAGAAUCAGAGCAUGGGAUGGGAAUUAGCAAAGCAUGAGAUGGGGAAAGAGACGAACUGAAGGAAGGUGAAGGUGCCUUGUUUCAUUUACUGAUCGAUGCCCCUCUCAGGAGUACAAGCACAUGACUUAUACUACUAGCACCAAACACACACAACGUUGGCCCAUGGCCCAUAUCAAAGCCCAGGUCCAGGUUAUAAACUCGAUCGUGACAACCCAAAGGUGGGGUGUUACAUAGUACUUACCUCCUUCGUUUUGAUGCGGAUGCAAUCUUGAAAAUUCCUUUUUGUACAUGCAACACCGAGGACUUUUGGGCGUGGUUCCCAGAGAAAAAAGGAAACUUCAGCGUACAGAUUCCUAUCAAAAACCAAACUCCAGAGGGAGGAUUGGUUGGAAGGUAGAAGUGGAACGUCAAGUACGGCAGUUGAGAAGUCAUGGACCGAGUUGUGGAAAAGUGCGAUGCCCUCGAAGAUUAAAGUUUUCCUAUGGAGGCUGGCUCGUCACUCGCUUCCUACUACGGAUGUACUUCAUCAUCGAAAUAUGGCUGCUCAGAAUGCAUGCCCAUUGUGUGGUGCUGAAGAUUCAUGGAGGCACGCUUUGCUCUCAUGCUCCAUGUCAAGUUGUGUGUGGGCUUUGGCCGACGAUGAACUCGUCUCUAAGAUGUCAGAGUUUCAAGAUUCUAGCGCCAAGGUGUGGCUGUUCGAGCUAUCUAAAUUGUUAGACCACACGAGCUUCACUAAAAUGGUUGUUACAUUAUGGGCAAUGUGGUUUGCAAGAAGGAAGGCUGUUUAUGAGGGGAUUUUUCAAAACCCGCAGCAAACUAUUGGGUUCGUGAACACCUUCAUAGCUGAACUAGACCAAAUUACAAUGAGUCGGGCUAAGGUUGAUGCGCCGAGAGUAAUCCAAGCACAGCCGAACUGUGGCUACCUCCAACGCAGGGAAUGAUGAAGUUGAAUGUGGAUGGAGCCAUAGUGAGAGGCAGACGAGGAGGGGUGGCUGCAGCUGUAUGUCGAAACAGCGAUGGCACCUACCUUGGAUCGUCGGCGAUUGUUUACCGCGGUAUGACGGACCCAGUGAUUCUCGAGACAUAUGCUUGCACGGAAGCGCUAUCACUAGCCAAGGAUCUCGCUAUUCAGAGCCUCACGGUGGCCUCGGAUUGCCAAGGGGUCAUCAACGACAUCAAAUUGGGGACUAGGGGUCCUCAUGCAGCUAUCAUACAUGAAAUAAUGGCUCGUAGUUCUAGUUUUCUUUCCUGCAGUUUUGUGCAUGAGCGUAGAAAUCAUAAUUUCGAGGCUCACAAUCUCGCCAAAUUUGCUUGUAAUUUAGGCAUAGGUAGACAUGUUUGGUUGGGUGUCCCUCAUGACCCAAAUCUUGUACCUAUGAACAUCAUUGCGAAUCAAUAAAGUCGGCGAGAUUUCUCAAAAAAAAAAUACAUAGUACUUACCUCCUCGGAUAUUGUCUUCGGAGGCCGAGCUCCAUGAAGCUCGAUUUUGAAAAUUUUGAAUUUUGUCAAAUUUCAUAUUUUCUACAUUUCAAAAAAUUCUGAAAAAAACAACACAUAUACAUGAAGGCAUGACACAUGUGUAUAAAUUUUCAGGGCAAAAUAAGUUGAAAUGAGGGCAGUGCAAAAAGGACAAAUCUGGGCCUUUUUAACACAUGAUACUAUUCAUCCUCCGAGGCCAUGAAUUUGUCUUUUUUGUACAUGUCACACUUCAAUGUUUUUCAUUCUAAAAUUUCACACACAUAGACAUAACAUACUCCCUCCGUUCCGAAUUACUUGUCGCAUGUAUGGAUGUAUCUAGAUGUAUUUUAGUUCUAGAUACAUCCAUUUCUGCGACGAGUAAUUUGGAACGGAGGGAGUACUUGUUUACUUGCACAAUUUUUUUCAGUUUUUUUUAAACCAAAAAGUUCAAAUUUUGAUUUAUUUUCAAAAAAAGGCCUCCAUGGCUCCCGGGAGCCAAACGUUCGCUCUCUUACCUCCUACGUUAUAACGAUAUAAAGUAUAGCAACGGAAGGAAACCAAAACAGAUUGGUGCUAAAGCUCCUAGGCCGACCCAGUGGCAGGCUCCUGCCACAGGAUGUGUUAAGAUCAAUGUAGAUACUGCGGCCCUAAGGUAUGCUAGAUUUGGGGCCGUUGGGGCGAUUUGCAGAAGUUCAGAGGAAUUAUUCUUCAUUGGGUGGGAUGGCAAUCAAUUUUUUUUCUUAUUUGUUAAGUUUAUAAAUUAACAAAUAAGACAGGAAAGAGUAAAUAUUCGCCCGCGAAAUUCUUAUUGAAUUAGAAUACUUUACCGCGAUUCAAUAAGAGUAAAAAUAAGGAUUUUUUUAAGAAGGAUUACAUUAUCUAUACAUAUAGAAUUUAGAUAAAUAUACACACAUCUGGAUAUAUUCUAGAUCUUCUUUGACUAUGUAUUAUAUUUUUCUGUUUUAACAAAUUCAAUAUAAAAAAACCCGAACUUUUUCUAUUAUCUAUUAAUGUGUAUCUAUCCGUACCGUAAUAUUUUAGAAUAUUAUGAAUUAGAGAAAUUUACAUGCUUUCUCAUUCCAUUCGCGAGGAGCUGGAUGAGAAGAAACUCUCAUGUCCAGUUUUGCAGUAGAGAUGGAACUAAGAAAGAAAACCAUUGACUAUAACCCCAAAAGAACCAGAUUUCGCAAACAACAUAGAGGAAGAAUGAAAGGAAAAUUCGAAAAUCCUGCCGAGGCAAUCAUAUUUGUUUUGAUAGAUAUGCUCUUCAAGCACUUGAACCCGCUUGGAUCACGGCGAGACAGAUAGAAGCAGGACGAAGAGCAAUAACACGAUAUGCACGUCGUGGUGGAGAAAUAUGGGUACGUAUAUUUCCCGACAAACCGGUUACACUAUGACCCACGGAAACACGUAUGGGCUCGGGGAAGGGGUCCCCUGAAUAUUGGGUAUCCGUUGUUAAACCUGGUCGUAUACUUUAUGAAAGGGGGGGAGUAUCUGAAACUGUAGCUAGAGCAGCUAUCUCCAUAGCUGCUAGUAAAAUGCCCAUACGAAGUCGAUUUAUUCGAUUAGAGAUAUAGAACCCUAAAAGGGGUAUGGAAGAUAAAAAAAAUGCCCGGUUUUUCUUUCUAGAAAGACAAUAUUUCUUUCAUCCUUUUGCAUUGAAAUAACAAAUUGAAAUCAAAAUAAUAUGAUUCAACCUCAGACCCUUUUAAAUGUAGCAGAUAAUAGUGGAGCUCGAAAAUUGAUGUGUAUUCGAGUCAUAGGAGCUGCUGGUAAUCAGCGAUAUGCUCGUAUUGGUGAUGUUAUUGUUGCUGUAAUCAAAGACGCAUUGCCCCAAAUGCCUCUAGAAAGAUCCGAAGUAAUUCGAGCUGUAAUGGUACGUACAUGUAAAGAGUUCAAAUGCGAAGACGGUAUAAUAAUCCGCUAUGAUGACAAUGCUGCGGUUAUAAUUGAUCAAAAAGGCAAUCCAAAAGGAACUCGAGUUUUUGGCGCGAUUGCCGAGGAAUUGAGAGGAUUGAAUUUUACCAAAAUAGUUUCAUUAGCUCCUGAAGUAUUAUAAAUACUAGUAGGCGAAAUUGAGAUCAAAGAAUUAAUUUAGUAGAUUGUGUUUUACGUAUAUGUUUUAAAAUCCAAAAUGAAAAAAAAAAAACAUGUUGAUUAUAGAAAAAUUAGGAGGAACCUAGAAUUAGAGUCUUAUGGGCAAGGACACUAGUGCUGAUUUACUAACCUCUAUAAGAAAUGCGGACAUGAAUAAAAAAGGAACAGUUCGAGUAGUAUCUACAAAUAUUACCGAAAACAUUGUGAAAAUACUUCUACGAGAGGGUUUUAUUGAAAGUGUUCGGAAACAUCAGGAACGUAACAGAUAUUUCUUGGUUUCAACUUUGCGACAUCAAAAGAGAAAGACUAGAAAAGGAAUAUAUAGAACAAGAACCUUUUUAAAGCGUAUCAGCCGACCCGGCUUACGAAUUUAUACCAACUAUCAAGGAAUUCCUAAAGUUUUGGGUGGAAUGGGAAUUGCUAUUCUUUCUACUUCUCGAGGAAUAAUGACAGAUCGAGAAGCUCGACUAAACAGAAUUGGGGGAGAAGUCUUAUGUUAUAUAUGGUAAUCGCCCCGCCUAUAGUGCUCGAAUUCUAUCUCGCCCUUCCUAUUUUUAAAAUAAAAAUAGAAAAAUAGGAGAAAAAAA